GAGAUGAUGAGAUAAACUCUGGGUUUUCAGUUCCAGAAAGAGAGAUAACUUGGAGACUUGUAAGAGUAGCUCUGGGUGAGUUACCUUGGUAACAGUUACCAUGGUGACUGACUCUGUGAAGCUAACUUACUUGCAGAAUUGUAAUGAAAAAUCUGAACAUGACAACAAAAGACUUCACAAGAACCCAAACUAGUUUUUUUAAGCAGUUAAGAAACAAGUUCAUGCUUUUUGAGGGAGUUUUUUUUUUUCCUGUAUUCUAUCUAUUGUACAGAGAAGGAGGAAGAGAAGG